rnacentral:rRNA from 1 species
UACAGAGGUGGCAAGCGUUGUUCGGAUUUACUGGGCGUAAAGGGUGCGUAGGUGGUCUCCUAUGUCGAGUGUGAAAUCCCAAGGCUCAACCUUGGAAUUGCGCUCGAAACUGGGAGACUUGAGUGCAGGAAGGGAGAGCGGAAUUCUUGGUGUAGCGGUGAAAUGCGUUGAUAUCAAGAAGAACACCGGUGGCGAAGGCGGCUCUCUGGAAUGCUACUGACACUGAGGCACGAAAGCUGGGGGAGCAAACAGG